rnacentral:rRNA from 1 species
CCUACGGGUGGCAGCAGUGGGGGAUAUUGCACAAUGGGGGAAACCCUGAUGCAGCGACGUCGCGUGGGCGAAGAAGUAUUUCGGUAUGUAAAGCUCUAUCAGCAGGGAAGAAGAAAUGACGGUACCUGAGUAAGAAGCACCGGCUAAAUACGUGCCAGCAGCCGCGGUAAUACGUAAGGUGCAAGCGAUAUCCGGAUUUACUGGGUGUAAAGGGAGCGCAGGCGGCACGGCAAGCCUGAUGGGAAAUCCCGCGGCCCAACCGCGGGACUGCAGUGGGAACUACCGGGCUGGAGUGCGGGAGAGGUAGGCGGAAUUCGUAGUGUAGCGGUGAAAUGCGUAGAUAUUAGGAAGAACACCGGUGGCGAAGGCAGCCUACUGGACGGUGACUGACGCUGAGGCUCGAAAGCGUGGGGAGCGAACAGGAUUAGAUACCCCGGUAGUC